CCCCUUCCCACCCCCCCCCCCCCCCCCCCCCCCCCCCUCCCGCCUCGAAUUAGUACUAUUAUUUAUUUAUUUAUUUUUCUUUCGGGGAGGUUCGGUUGGAGGGAAGUUUUGCGCCGCAGACGGGGCCGGGGCUGCUGCGGGCUGGAUGGGGAGGGCGGCACGUUGCGGGGGGGCGCGGGCAGUGCGGGACCCCGCCGGGGGUGGGGGGGGACCGGGCGGGGACCUGCCGCCGCUGCCGGCUCUUUGUCUGCUCGGGCAACUUGAACAAAAGGCGAAACUCGGAUGAACUCUCUCCAUCUCGCCCUCUCCUCGCCCGGGUUAUCUCAGCUGCGGCAACUUUAAGCCGGCGAGAUUGCCCCAACUUUCCCGCAGCUCCCUAACAGCGGGCAGCCCCCCUUUCAGGCUCCUCGGGCAGCACUUCGAGGACAGGCGAAGGUCAAAACAUGGUCGUCGGGAAAAUGGGAUGCUUGCCAAAAUUGUCGGUCUGUGCUAGGUGCCAUGCUGUGUUGUCCUUGGAAUGGUGGAAUACAACUUGGGUCUCCUCGGGGAUGGCUGACGUGGCACAAACUGUACCACGCAACUACCGAAUGCGUUCACCUUUUGGAUAUGUAUGUAAGUUAGUGGGCUACUGGAAGAAGAUGAAGAAUCUCUUGCAGAAAAGUGAGGAUAUUGUAGAAAAUGCUGCUGCAAACCAUUUGGAUUAUAUUGCCAUCCGACAUUGCGGUCCUGCAGCUAACAGAAGGCUUGAGCCACAGAACAGGGUGAGGAUUUACAGUUCUGGAGGAGAAGUAUGAAUGGGAUUGAAGGAUUUACAUGGAGGACUCUGAACUCCUUCCCUUCCUGAGUCAGGAAGGAUAGGUGAGUGAACUAUGGGAUAAUUUGUAAUUAACUUGGUUCUUACUUAAGAAGGUCUUUAGUCAAAACAGGAAGAUACAAUUCAGAUGAAUGUAUAUAAGAACAGAACAGACUUCAGAUACUGCAGACACACCCCUUAAUUAUAAACAACAGUAUUCAGAGUUUUAUGUUCCUGUUUAGUAAUAAGAGGGUUUCCAGAAAGGAUGGUGUGAGGUUGCUUCAAAUCACUCCUCCCCCAGCCUUCCAAAACUCUCUCUGAUACAGAACUUUUUUUUUUUUUCUUCUUUUUUUUUUUUUUUUUUGAUUUGGUAACUUUUCACCCAAAGUCAAUGAUGCCUGAGCUGCUAAAACGAUUUUAGCCAUUCCCGAAGCAGUUCUGAGUUAAGACUGCAACUGGAGAAGAGCGUGAGCUGGAGCUGUGUUAGACCCCUGCAUGUCACUUGUUAUAACAAAUAACGUGAGACAGAUGGGGCAGUAUUGGCCCAAGAUCCAUCCAUACUACAUCUGGACUGCUUGGGAAGUCUCUCAGAGUGGACAAGAUGUGGGAGUUGCUUCCAGUGGCUGCAGCCCUGGCUUGGAUUUCUCCUGCAUCCCUCCCCUGCUCCUUCCCUGCCCAGAAAGGGGAAGGGAGAAACUAGGAGCCAAACCCAGUAAGGUGGGGUAGAUGAGAGAUCACUUCAGGCUCACUCUGACUGUAGUUGCAUCAUUAGGAAAGGCCACGUAAUCUUUUUGUGGAAAUUAUAUCUUUACUUUGGGAGUACUUAACAUAUAACACCUUCAGGUCCUGACCAGCAAAUAAGAUCUAUGCUCCUUAAUACAAUCUUUUCAAAGGAAGUAGAUCCAAUUCUUGUUGUAAAAGCAUAAGAAAAUGGUGAAGCCUUAGCUUUUUGCAGGGAGUUCUCACUUGUGUGUCCGUAUGGGUGGGUCAGGAGUAUGUAUGUGAUCCUUUGUAGCUACCAGUGCUGUAGGAUUGCUGAGAAUUGAAGAACAGCAAGUGCCAAUUGUGACUAUGACUUGCACUGGCGGCAAUAUCGCAUCAACUGAGACUCCAUAAGAGGGUGCACUUCUGAUUGCAGUUAUCACUGCACAUACAGCUCUUGCACCAAGUUGUGACAACACAAUAAAUAGUUAAGAACUAGAGAAAAUGAGUUUUAA
rnacentral:lncRNA from 1 species